GAAAAUAAAAGUGUCAUUUUGUUUCAGUUUUUGAUAGAAGAAAGCCCUUUAUUUUUACCUCAUGGCUAUAAAGUCAGGCUUGCAGGAAAAUGAGUCAAGACUUCUCAGUGAUGCUGGUAGAAGGCAACCUUCUGACAUAUAUAUUGUCCUCUAUUAUAGAAAAUUCCUGUCAUAAGUCAUUGACUUGUGUUCCACCCUGAAUGAUAGGCUGACCUUGGCAGCCUGAAGACUAUAAGAUGAUAGAUCAUAAAACAUUGAUUCUGGGAAGGAGUGUGGGGUGAAUACUGCACCAUGAAUUCAUGGCUCAGGACUGAGCCAUAUGUGGAGGAAACCAGUCUCCAGCUCAAUCAAAACCAGUGGCAUCCCACAAGAAGGGACAACAAUGUUCCAUGACCACGAGAGUAGCCACAGCCCAAUGUCUCCUUUGUGUCAAGCUGCCACCAUGUCCAGCUGGUGAGAACAGGCCAUGACCUUCCUGAGGAAACGAGGAAAGUCCACAUGGCAGGGAGGGUGCCUAAGUCCAUGGGGUGCUGCCUGCCUCCGGCUCUUACCAUGGGCUUCCAUCCUGAGCUGAUUUCCCUUGGAAUGCUCUGGCUCAGGGGAGUGGAGUAGAAUAAAGCACAGUUUUAACCCCACACUUAAAGAGAUCUUUCUCCACUAAUAAAAACAGAAUGUAUGGAAUUAGGGGCUCAAGGUUAGAAAGAGGGAAAUACUUGGUAAGAUUUAGAAAUAAGGAAGAUAAAGUACACAGAUAGAAAGAGGAUUAUCACCCUACAGCAUACAAAGGAGCAUCCAAAUAUGAGAUAUUGGCCAUGUUUCACCAAAAAUUAUUCACAGCGACUAGAGUAUUGUGUCAUAAAUUUCUAGACUAUGAUAAUGGACACUGU
rnacentral:lncRNA from 1 species